rnacentral:rRNA from 1 species
UAAAAAUGUGUUAAAAUUACUGGGCUAUUAUUAGUUAUGGUCUUGAAAAUUAAAGAUUUUGGCGGUAUUUUAGUCUAUUCAGAGGAAUUUGUUCUGUAAUCGAUAAUCCACGAUUAGUAUGACUUAAGUUAAUAAAUUUGUAUAUCGUCGUAGAAAAAUAUUUUAAAAGAAUUUAAAUAUUUAAGAUUUUAUAUUAAAAAAUAAAUCAGAUCAAGGUACAGUUUAUAUUUAAGUAGAAAUGAAUUACAUUGAUUUUAAUAUUUUGGUUAUUAUAUUUAAAAUAUAGUAUAAAAUGGAUUUGAUAGUAAUUAUAUACAUAUAUAUAUAAUGAUUUAAGCUCUAAAAUAUGU